rnacentral:piRNA from 1 species
UCCAAACCUUGUUGGUGCAUGUCUGAUGU